rnacentral:rRNA from 1 species
AUGCUUUUCCCAAAGACUAAGCCAUGCAUGUCCGACUAAGAGGAAGCAAUUCUCUCUGAAUCUGCGAACGGCUCCGCAAACCAGUUGUAAACCCAAGCACAGUCCCGCCCGGCUUCAGCAAUGGAGCCGGGCACUAUAUGGAUAACCGUGGUAAUUCUGAGGCUAAUACAUGACAAAAAACCUGCCAAGCCGGGGCAACCUGGCGAAGCGGGGGACGCGCGGCAAAAUUGCUGGAAAACCACACGAAAGAACGCACGUUCAGACCGCUGCAACGGGGAAGGGGCCUCACGGCUUCAUCCCUAGCGGCCUAUGCAUCGGGCUUCUGACCUAUCAACUAGACGGCAGCAUAAGGGACAUGCUAUGGUGACAACGGGUACAGAGGAUUAGGGUUCGAUCCUGGAGAGUGGGCCUGAGAGAUUGCUCAUACUUCUAAGGAAGGCAGCAGGCGCGCAACGUUCCCCAUGGGCAAUUGCUCGAGGGCGUUAGGGGAAAUAUGAAUGCCUGCCUAUACGGUGGGCAAUUCAAA